GUACACUCUCAUCAGCAGUGCAGCUGCAUCCACUCUACCCAGCGAAGAAAGGUAUCUCUCCUGGGACCACCUUGGCUCUCCUUCAUGGGAGUUGUAUUGCAGCAGGCAGCUCAUUAUUCUUCUGCUCCUGGAAGUAUAUGUUUCAAUAACGAUCUGCCUUGUGUUCAGACUCCAUGGGUCAAGGGUUAAUGUCCUCCUACUGCAACAUAAAGUAUUUUUCAUCUGAUCACACUGUGGGCAUUGGCUGAAAAAUGAAUCUGCUAUCCAUGAGGGACCAAGACAUUGAAAAGGCUGUAUUUGGUGUGCUCUCUACCCUCUUGCUUCUAUCCUGUUGCAUAACUUGACCAACUGGUGAAACACCAGAAGAUGGAAGAAGCAAGGAAUACAUUCUCCCUUAGAGCCUCCAGAGAGAGCAUGACGCUGACAGCAUCUUGGUUUUGUUUCAGUGGAACUGAUUUCUGACUUCUGGCCUUCAGAAAUGUGAGAAAAUAAAUUUGUCUUGUUUUAAGCCAUCAAUUAUGUGGCAAUUUGUUAUGGCAGCCCCAGGAACUAAUGCAUACAUACUCUAUUCAAGAAGAUAACAUAUUUGGUUGGACAGCUGGUUAUUUAGGCUACAAAGCUAUUAAUCACUACCUCAUAGGAUUAUUGCAGGCUUAAAUGGAAUAAUUCAUGUAAAG
rnacentral:lncRNA from 10 species